rnacentral:rRNA from 1 species
UGCGCAGGCGGAAUAUUAAGUCAGUGGUGAAAUCCUACAGCUCAACUGUAGAACUGCCAUUGAAACUGAUAUUCUUGAGUAUAGUUGUAGUGGGCGGAAUAUAUCAUGUAGCGGUGAAAUGCUUAGAUAUGAUAUAGAACACCGAUCGCGAAGGCAGCUCACUAAACUAUAACUGACGCUCAGGCACGAAAGCGUGGGGAGCAAACAGGAUUAGAUACCCUGGUAGUCC